CAGACGGGGUGAAGAAGGGGGGAAGAGGGGACAAUGGGCGAAAGCCUGAUCCAGCCAUGCCGCGUGUGUGAAGAAGGCCUUCGGGUUGUAAAGCACUUUCAGUGGGGAAGAAAGCCUUGGGGCUAAUACCCUCGAGGAAGGACAUCACCCACAGAAGAAGCACCGGCUAACUCCGUGCCAGCAGCCGCGGUAAUACGGAGGGUGUGAGCGUUAAUCGGAAUUACUGGGCGUAAAGCGCGCGUAGGCGGUCUGAUAAGCCGGUUGUGAAAGCCCCGGGCUCAACCUGGGAACGGCAUCCGGAACUGUCAGGCUAGAGUGCAGGAGAGGAAGGUAGAAUUCCCGGUGUAGCGGUGAAAUGCGUAGAGAUCGGGAGGAAUACCAGUGGCGAAGGCGGCCUUCUGGACUGACACUGACGCUGAGGUUCGAAAGCGUGGGUAGCAAACAGGAUUAGAUACCCUGGUAGUC
rnacentral:rRNA from 1 species